rnacentral:lncRNA from 1 species
CCGUAGGUAGCAAGCAAGUCAGUAAGUUGGUUUCCCUCCCUCUAGGUAUAAGACCAAGUUUACACACCUCCAUUCAGACCAAAAUCCUUUAUAUCAUGCACCAAACUGGAGCAAGGGUGCGAGGCUAGGCAAUCCUUGGCUAACAAUUUGGUUACAUUUUUUAUGAAAGAAGGAAGAGAUAAUUAGAUCAAAAAUCAUAAAUCAACAAAUUUGAAGUCUUACAUUUUCUUGAUUAAAAUCAAAAUUGACAUCUACAACCCAGGAAUUAAAUUUCUGCCCUUUGCAAAGCAAAAUGCUUCUCACUACACUUAUUUAAUUAUAGCACUUAUGUACAUUUCCAGCAUCCUGAUCCCCUAAAGCCUUCAGCAUUGCUAUAAUAAAACCUUACAAAAAGGAAGAAUACCACUAAAAGAGCCAAAAACCUUGCAAAAUAGUAUAUAACAUAAUAAAAAGGCCAAAGUAAAAGAAACAAUAUCAAAUCACAUAAACUAGCAAUGAAUCUUCCUUGACAAGAUCUCCAGAAGAAAUUUCAAAUCCUACUUGUUCUGUGUGGGAUUUGGAACACUUGCUGGUGCUUUCCUCAAGCUUGGCUCCACAGCUUUCUUGGUCUGUUUCUUGUUUCCGCUUAGUUUACUAAUACUUGUGGAAACAGAAUCAAAAGAUGAGUAUAGCAACUUCUUUGACAGAAUUGUCUUUCCUGAAAAUCCUAGUUCAUGGUGGAGACAGAAAGUAGAGAACAAAAGAAAGUGAACAAGAACCAAGGCCAACACAGCAGCCAAAAUUCUGAAGCUGAUGAUCUUCAUGAGAAAUUGAGAAUGGUUUCAGCAAGAAGCAGUGUAAGAUGCAAGAGUACUAAUAAUUUUGAAGAGUUGGAUCAGGGUUAUAUAUGAAAAGGCAUGAGCAUGCUUUAUGCACGUGGUUCACCAGUACUUGCAUUAUAGUAUUAUAUAUCAUAUUGCAGGGGGAAAAGACAUAUAGUUGCUUAGACAACAAGCACGUUCGUAUAGAAAAC